rnacentral:lncRNA from 1 species
CCCGGGAUUGCACUAAGAAAGUGGAGCCGAGGCAGAGGUAGCGUCGGGAGCGAGGAGAGGGCGGCGAGCUGGCCAAGAAGGAAGAAGUACCGAGGGGAACGGCUAGGAAGGGUGGCCGGAUCACGAUGGUCCCUGCCCGCUCCGGCCUCCGCCGGGGCCGCCUCACCCAAGUUGGGCGCCGCAGCCCCGACAGGUCGGUCCCGCGCCCGGCUUCACAAACAGCACCCGACUACGCGCCGCUGGGAUCGUCCCGCCCCACCCUCCCCGGCUGACCCCACCACCCCACGGCCCGGACCCCUUAUCCAGGCUUCUCCUUCCAGAUCCGAGUCCCGCGCCCGGACCCCAGCUUCCUCCACCCCAGACCCAGGUUCCCUCACCCCGGCUCCCGCCCAGAGUUUCCCUUCCAGGUCCGAGUCCCGCGCCCGGACCCCAGCUUCCUGCUCCUCAGGCCCGGGCCCCUCACCCCGUCCCCCGCCCGGAAUCCCCCUUCCAGGUCCGAGUCCCGCGCCCGGACCCCAGCUUCCUCCACCCCAAGCCCGGGCCUCUCACCCCGGCUCCAGCCCAGGGUCCUCCUUCCGGGUCCGGGUCCCGGAUCUGGAUCCCGGCUUCCUGCCCAGGGUUCCCCUUCCAGCUCCGACUCCCGCACCCGGACCCCGGCUGCCUCCUCCCCAGGCCUGGGACCCGCAGCCCAGCUCCCCCUUCCAGGCCGAGUCCCGUACCGUGACCCCGGCGCCUCUCCCCAGGCUCGGCUCCUUCUCCUGCCACGCUGCCCGCCCUCCUCUUACCUCCCAGGCGGCCGCCGCGGCACUCGCUGGGUUGUGGGUGCGCCGAAAGCCGGGUGCGCGACGGCGAGCAGGUGCGAGGUUGCAGCCGCGCGGGCCUCGGGUCUGGAGCGGCCGCUGCUCGCCGGGUUGGGCGCGCCUGGUCGCUUCCGGUGCGCCGAGGUUCUCGAAAGACUUGGUGGUCAGCAAGCCCCGGGUCUCAAACACCAUGUCCUCUGGGGGCCUCGCCUCGCCUCUCUGUGUUCGGCAGUGA